rnacentral:lncRNA from 1 species
CUCUCUCUCAGGCCUGCUGUCAAUCGGCUCCGCAUCCUCUAGUUCUGCACAUCCCCGGCCAUCAGAGCACGAACUUCUGGUCGGUCCGCCUGCCGUUCUUUCACCUAUAGAGCCCACCCUCUAAAGGUGUCCAAGCUGCUCCAAAGAACAAUUGAUUAACCCAACGGCUGUCUUUGGCCCUCAGAACUGUCACACCUGGCUCCGCCUCUUCCCGGACAUCAUCUGUUGCACCAGAGACUGGCGGGUCUGGAAAGAAGCUCUGAGCCCAUCCGCGUUUCUCUGUUGGACCCUGUCAGGCACAUUUAUUCUCGUCAUACUACAGAUGGGGAAACAUCCGUAAGUGGCAGAGAUGGGAUUUGAAC